AGUGAACGCUGGCGGUAGGCCUAACACAUGCAAGUCGAACGGCGGCACAGUAAGAUCUUGCUCUUACGGGUGGCGAGUGGCGGACGGGUGAGGAAUACAUCGGAAUCUACUUUUUCGUGGGGGAUAACGUAGGGAAACUUACGCUAAUACCGCAUACGACCUACGGGUGAAAGCAGGGGAUCUUCGGACCUUGCGCGAUUGAAUGAGCCGAUGUCGGAUUAGCUAGUUGGCGGGGUAAAGGCCCACCAAGGCGACGAUCCGUAGCUGGUCUGAGAGGAUGAUCAGCCACACUGGAACUGAGACACGGUCCAGACUCCUACGGGAGGCAGCAGUGGGGAAUAUUGGACAAUGGGCGCAAGCCUGAUCCAGCCAUACCGCGUGGGUGAAGAAGGCCUUCGGGUUGUAAAGCCCUUUUGUUGGGAAAGAAAAGCAGCAGGUUAAUACCCCGCUGUUCUGACGGUACCCAAAGAAUAAGCACCGGCUAACUUCGUG
rnacentral:rRNA from 1 species